rnacentral:tRNA from 1 species
GCUUCCGUAGCUCAGCAGGAUAGAGCGUCCGCCUCCUAAGCGGAAGGCCGGCGGUUCGAAUCCGCCCGGGAGUGCCA